rnacentral:rRNA from 1 species
UUACGAUUGACGGAGCGAAGCGACGUCAAAGCGUAUAGAAAGUCGAGUCGGUUUAAGGAUACGUUCGUUGGGUAGGGGAGCGUUCUGUAAGCCUGUGAAGGUGUGUCGUGAGGCAUGCUGGAGGUAUCAGAAGUGCGAAUGCUGACAUAAGUAACGAUAAUGCGGGUGAAAAACCCGCUCGCCGGAAGACCAAGGGUUCCUGUCCAACGUUAAUCGGGGCAGGGUGAGUCGACCCCUAAGGCGAGGCCGAAAGGCGUAGUCGAUGGGAAACAGGUUAAUAUUCCUGUACUCGGUGUUACUGCGAAGGGGGGACGGAGAAGGCUAUGUUGGCCGGGCGACGGUUGUCCCGGUUUAAGCGUGUAGGUGUGUGGACCAGGCAAAUCCGGUUCACUUUAACACUGAGGCGUGAUGACGAGGCACUACGGUGCUGAAGCAACAAAUGCCCUGCUUCCAGGAAAAGCCUCUAAGCAUCAGGUAACAUCAAAUCGUACCCCAAACCGACACAGGUGGUCAGGUAGAGAAUACCAAGGCGCUUGAGAGAACUCGGGUGAAGGAACUAGGCAAAAUGGUGCCGUAACUUCGGGAGAAGGCACGCUGAUGGUAGGUGAAGUGAUUUACUCAUGGAGCUGAA